rnacentral:rRNA from 1 species
UGGGGAAUUUUGGACAAUGGGCGCAAGCCUGAUCCAGCAAUGCCGCGUGCAGGAUGAAGGCCUUCGGGUUGUAAACUGCUUUUGUACGGAACGAAAAAGCUCUCUCUAAUACAGGGGGUGAAUGACGGUACCGUAAGAAUAAGCACCGGCUAACUACGUGCCAGCAGCCGCGGUAAUACGUAGGGUGCAAGCGUUAAUCGGAAUUACUGGGCGUAAAGCGUGCGCAGGCGGUUUUGUAAGACAGAGGUGAAAUCCCCGGGCUCAACCUGGGAACUGCCUUUGUGACUGCAAAGCUGGAGUGCGGCAGCGGGGGAUGGAAUUCCGCGUGUAGCAGUGAAAUGCGUAGAUAUGCGGAGGAACACCGAUGGCGAAGGCAAUCCCCUGGGCCUGCACUGACGCUCAUGCACGAAAGCGUGGGGAGCAAACA